AGAGUUUGAUCCUGGCUCAGGACGAACGCUGGCGGCGUGCUUAACACAUGCAAGUCGAACGGUGACCUCGGAGCUUGCUCCGGGUGAUCAGUGGCGAACGGGUGAGUAACACGUGAGCAACCUGCCCCCGACUCUGGGAUAACCCCGGGAAAUCGGAGCUAAUACCGGAUACGAGACGUACAGGCAUCUGUUGCGUCUGGAAAGAAUUUCGGUCGGGGAUGGGCUCGCGGCCUAUCAGCUAGUUGGUGGGGUAGUGGCCUACCAAGGCGACGACGGGUAGCCGGCCUGAGAGGGCGACCGGCCACACUGGGACUGAGACACGGCCCAGACUCCUACGGGAGGCAGCAGUGGGGAAUAUUGCGCAAUGGGGGAAACCCUGACGCAGCGACGCCGUGUGAGGGAAGAAGGCUCUCGGGUCGUAAACCUCUGUCGGGAAGGAAGAACCUCUCAGGGCUGAACAAGCCCUGGGGACUGACGGUACUUCCAAAGGAAGCACCGGCUAACUCCGUGCCAGCCGCCGCGGUAAUA
rnacentral:rRNA from 1 species